AUCCAGUUGAUUAAUCCCAAAUAGGACGAAACGUAUGUCCUGGAU
rnacentral:hammerhead_ribozyme from 1 species